UACGAUCAAAAUCCAUUCUGGAACUAAUGUGCAACAACCAUAACAGGGCAAAACAAUCUUCAAUCUAAACCAAAAAUUGUUUAAAAAAGAAACUCCAAGCAUAUUCGAGGAGCAGCAACAGUGAGCAACAGAUACGAAGCGAAGAAUCACAGCCUUCUUCCACGUCUGCCUCCCUUUCUACGGGUACUGUCAGUGGGAAUGGGGGGGGGGUAACAUCCUCUAAGGUGAAGAGGGUACAUGUAAGCUUACAAGAGUUGAAAUUAUGGGACCCAAUGAAUUGUGGAGAAAUGAAAGGGUGAAAAAAUCUUACCUAUGCGUCCAAUUUUUUCAUGCCAAGACACGAGCAAGGGCUCUAAGUGCUGACUGUGCACCAGGACCUGGUGUCUUGGUCUUAUUCCCC
rnacentral:lncRNA from 1 species